GGCUCAGUGGCAGAGCACUCCCUUGGUAAGGGAAAGGUCAUCAGUCCAAUUCUGAUCACCG
rnacentral:tRNA from 1 species